rnacentral:lncRNA from 1 species
ACUCUUCAUUUCUAAAUUAAUGCUAAACCAAAUCAAAUCUGAUUUGAACCAAAUGUUAGAAAUGAACCUAAUCAAAUUAGGAGCCCAAUCAUCUCAAUAAUUUCUUAACUCAAUUAGAAAUUAAUUGAGUCCAAAUCCUGAUCAAAUUAGGAUCAAAUUUUUCUUACAAUCAGAUUUGAUCAUAUCAAACCCAAUCUGAGUCGAACUGAAUCUAAUUUAAUUAGACUUGAUCCAAAACUCUUUACUUAAUCAAAUUGAGUCAAUUAGUAAUCUAAUUAUUAAUUAAUUUUUUAUUAAUAGUAGAGUUUCAAUCCCAGUGGGACUCUCUUCCAGAGUUUCAGUCCCAGUGGGACUUCUCACUAGAGUCACAAUCCAAUUGGACUCUUCAGCCAUUAGAUUUGAUCAAAUCUUCUAAUAUGUGUGGCCCCA